AAAAAAUGUUGUAGACACUUCGAUAAGAGGUCCUUGAAUCGCUCCAAUGCCUCAAACAAGGAUUCAAGCUCCAUCUGAACAAAUGACGAGAUUUCAUUAGGAAGCUU